CAGAGGUCCCAAGCGUUGUUCGGAUUCACUGGGCGUAAAGGGUGCGUAGGUGGCUAGGUAAGUCUGAUGUGAAAUCUUCGAGCUCAACUCGGAAAUGGCAUUGGAUACUAUUUGGCUGGAGGGUCGGAGGGGGGACUGGAAUUCUCGGUGUAGCAGUGAAAUGCGUAGAUAUCGAGAGGAACACCAGUGGCGAAAGCGAGUCCCUGGACGACUCCUGACACUGAGGCACGAAAGCUAGGGGAGCAAACAGGAUUAGAUACCCUGGUAGUCCUAGCCGUAAACGGUGCGUAUUUGCUGUAAAAGGAAUCGACCCCUUUUGUGGCGUAGCAAACGCGUUAAAUACGCCGCCUGGGAGGUACGGUCGCAAGAUUA
rnacentral:rRNA from 1 species